GAUGAAGAACGCAGCGAAAUGCGAUAAGUAGUGUGAAUUGCAGAAUUCAGUGAAUCAUCGAAUCUUUGAACGCACAUUGCGCCCCCUGGUAUUCCGGGGGGCAUGCCUGUUCGAGCGUCAUUUCACCACUCAAGCCUCGCUUGGUAUUGGGCAACGCGGUCCGCCGCGUGCCUCAAAUCGACCGGCUGGGUCUCCUGUCCCCUAAGCGUUGUGGAAACUAUUCGCUAAAGGGUGUUCGGGAGGCUACGCCGUAAAACAACCCCAUUUCUAAGGUUGACCUCGGAUCAGGUAGGGAUACCCGCUGAACUUAAGCAUAUCAAUAAGCGGAGGA
rnacentral:misc_RNA from 1 species